UUUCUUUUGGUUCUCUUUGCAGCCAAAACCAAAGAUGAGUUUUCUCCACUUUCCUCUGCCAUAAACCUUCCUUCUACACUUGUUCUACCCCAUUCCUCUUCUUCUGGAACAAUCCAAUCCAAAUUUUUUUAAGAGACUUUAAUCGAUAUAUUACUCAAGAAAAAUCGACAAUUAUUUUGUGUCUUACCAGCAAUCGAUAUUCCUGCGGCGACAAGAAGAAGUGAAGAAAGAAUACAAAUAAGCUCAGAAUGGAGAAAGCGGAUCAAGCGUUGCGGAUCUAGCGGACCAAGCGGAUCGAGCGGAACAAGAGUGGAUCGAACGGAUCGAACGGAACAAAAGUGGAUCAAGCGGAUUUGGCGGUGGAACGUCAUAACUGUCAAAUGAGCUAAUCGCAGGAUCCAAGACGUUGUUUGAGAAGAAAAGGUGUUGUUGCACAGAGUAACAAAGCGCUUUGUACUCUUCUUGUGUGUCUGACAUUUGUUUUGGGGACAUGAUUCAGAGGAGAGAGCUGUAGAUUUACAACCAGAGCAAGUUAUUGGAACAUCAGGACAACAUUUGAUUGUAUGACCAAUCUCUUUGCAAUGGGUACAAGCCAAGGGCAUCUACGGAUUGGAUACAACCACUUUGCUGAUAUCUCUAGACUCAAACUGAAUGCUAACCGCCUCUAGAAACUGUUUCCUUAAGCUGAUAAGAGCAAGUACUUUAACUACCUCCAAAUAAGUUUUGUUAAUUUGUUGUUGAUGGGUGGAGAUAGUUAGUGUCCCAGGUAAGCAUGUGAUACGUUCAAGACCGUCUUCAUUGAACAAUUGGAAUGGAACACUAAGUAGCUUAAUCCAGAUAUGGGCAGAGGUGAGAUCAUGUUUAUCAGGAAGGUUUUCAGGCUUCCAUUGAGAAACAAACAUUGUUUGUUUGAUGAUGAUCAAUAAAUUUAAAAUUUCAUUUAAAAAAACAUUGUUUGACCUUCAAUCUA